rnacentral:tRNA from 1 species
GUUUUAAUAAUUUAAAAUAUAAAAAUAUUGAUUUUGUAAAUCAAAAAUAAGAAAAAUCUUUUAAAACU